rnacentral:lncRNA from 8 species
GGGGAGUAGAGGAGAUCAUGACCUGUGAUGCCAGGAGACGACCUCGUAAUUGUGAAAGAGGAGGCAGUUCCCCAUGUGUAUGUAACAUUAGACAGAAUGUUACAUAUACAUUUACACAAUGGCUAUGUUUACUUUUUUUUUCAACAGACUGAUUAGUCCAAUAUUCCACUAUUUUCUGUGGCCAGCAUUGUGUUAUAAAGUACAGUAAGAUAAGGACGUGUUCUUUAUGUGAUCAUUUGUUUGUCAGACAUAGUCUGAGCAGACUAAAACUCCAUCCUCAGUUCUAUAGUAAUGAGGACAACCAAUCAGUGCCCUCUGUUUCUGAGAUCCAAGUGGAGAGUCACAACUUCCUGACACCUGACCAUGGUGUGUUUCAAAUGUUACUACACUCUGUGUUGUGGCUGUGUUUUCACUAUACCUGCUGUAUGACUUAACUGAGAGAUAAUUAAAUAAUUGGCCCUUUAACUAAAUUUACAUUUACAUUACAUUUAAGUCAUUUAGCAGACGCUCUUAUCCAGAGCGACUUACAAAUUGGUGCAUUCACCUUAUGAUAUCCAGUGGAACAACAACUUUACAAUAGUGCAUCUAAAUCUUUUAAGGGGGGGGGGGUUAGAAGGAUUACUUUAUCCUAUCCUAGGUAUUCCUUAAAGAGGUGGGGUUUCAGGUGUCUCCGGAAGGUGGUGAUUGACUCCGCUGUCCUGGCGUCGUGAGGGAGCUUGUUCCACCAUUGGGGUGCCAGAGCAGCGAACAGUUUUGACUGGGCUGAGCGGGAACUGUGCUUCCUCAGAGGUAGGGGGGCCAUCGAAAAUGACUUUUGUUCAUGAUAAUCCAGAUAAAAUUGACUACGACAAGGAUGUGACUGAGGAAAUCAUUCAUGCACCAAAUGUGACUGAUGUGUGGAGCGUCAUACCUGGAGGGGACAAAUCAGAGAACCUCCUCCCCCAGACCUCCCCCUUCUCUGGGGCUGCUGUUGCUUCAUCUCUCUGCUUCCUGGAGCUGGAGCCAAUACAGAGGGCGUCUGACCCUCCACAGCUUGAGAAAGCAAUGGAAUGUUUCCGCCGGGACUCCCAGGAUGCAGUGGACCAACCAGAGAUCCUGACAUCCUGUGCCCUCACUGAGACCACCCAGGACCUUUUCUCUGAGCUCCACCAGACCUUUUGUUCUCUGGAGGAGCUGGGAAGUGCAGGGCCCAGUGGCCCAGAUACAGAGAAAGGGUCUACCCUGGAGGGGGAACUGGACAGUGGGGGCUCUAGGAGGUAUAUCCGGUCCUUCUCUCUCCAGGACUCCUCCCUGCUCAUCCCCCGUCGGAGGUCCGUACGCUCCAGACAGCUACAGAUCCCUGGAGUCCCUCUGUCCCACAUGAUCAACUCCAGACGCAAUCCCCCAGCUCAGCCCCUCCUCAGCCCCAGAGACAUCCAGAGACAGGUUACCUGGAGGGGAGAAGGCCUUGCACAAGGAGGCGGCAGCAUGCUUCAGAUGCACCCCAGAGGAUAG